CUGGCUUGCUAUUGAGGUUUGGCAGUGCUUGCAAAGCAAAACCCAAAAAGGUUAUGGUGGGGGAAAAAAUUGUGAUUGAAAACCCCUUCCAUCUGAAGUCUGUGGAUAGUCAAUACAAUGUUAAACAAAAAUCUACACAACAGUCAAGCCAUAAGACUUGCUUUUCCCACAGAAAUCAAAAAUUUGCAGUGAUGUUUCUACCGCAAAGGAUUCUGGGCGGGCAUAUGAAAAUUAGUU